UGGCUCAGAGGUUAAAGCGUCUGCCUGGAAUGCAGGAGACCCGGGGUUUGAUCCCUG
rnacentral:tRNA from 1 species